rnacentral:rRNA from 1 species
CCGUAGGUGAACCUGCGGAGGGAUCAUUACUGAGUUUACGCUCUACAACCCUUUGUGAACAUACCUAUAACUGUUGCUUCGGCGGGCAGGGUCUCCGUGACCCUCCCGGCCUCCCGCCCCCGGGCGGGUCGGCGCCCGCCGGAGGAUAACCAAACUCUGAUUUAACGACGUUUCUUCUGAGUGGUACAAGCAAAUAAUCAAAACUUUUAACAACGGAUCUCUUGGUUCUGGCAUCGAUGAAGAACGCAGCGAAAUGCGAUAAGUAAUGUGAAUUGCAGAAUUCAGUGAAUCAUCGAAUCUUUGAACGCACAUUGCGCCCGCCAGCAUUCUGGCGGGCAUGCCUGUUCGAGCGUCAUUUCAACCCUCAAGCUCUGCUUGGUGUUGGGGCCCUACGGCUGACGUAGGCCCUCAAAGGUAGUGGCGGACCCUCCCGGAGCCUCCUUUGCGUAGUAACUUUACGUCUCGCACUGGGAUCCGGAGGGACUCUUGCCGUAAAACCCCCAAUUUUCCAAAGGUUGACCUCGGAUCAGGUAGGAAUACCCGCUGAACUUAAGCAUAUCAAUAACGGAGG